AUAUGUAUGACUCAUAAGCGUCUUAGCAACAUAUCCUUUAUCUAUUAUAUAACAUGUAUAUUUUAGACGAGACAGAUAAUCAUUGAAAUCUCGUAUUUCCAUUUCCGUAGGAAGUUAAAAAUAGAUGUAAAAAUAAAUGUGUAGAGAAAGGCCACUCUAUCAGGAUACAAUUGUCAUUCAUGCAGGUAAUUUACAUAUUGAAAAAUUAUGAUACAAACUACGUUAGAUAUUAUAAGAAACAUAACCGAUAUCGUAAACAGAGGAACGUCGACAUCUGGUGGCAGCUCUCAUGAAAAACCAAGUUAUCUGGGAUAUACCUUUGUAUUUGUGAUUGGAUUUGGUUUUGGUGUGGUGACAUAUAAAAUGUUUUUAGGUAAAAAUUCAUUGCCACCUUUACCUACUGUGAUAAACAAUUACAUAGAUAUUUCAGACGAUAGUGACAGAUCGGACGAUAGUGACAAAUCGGACGAUAGCGACAAAGAGGACGACAGGGAUAGAGAGAAAGAAAACAAGAAAGACAAAAGGGAAGCAGACGACUCCUAAAAGUUGAAGUCAUCAGUUAUCAUCAUUCGUCAAAGCUCGGCCGAUGUCGUUCGAUCAUCUAACGAGAAUAGAAAUAAGGUAGACGAUUCACCCGUGGAAAGCCGCGAUUGCAGUUAUCAUCAGAAAAUUAAGAAUUCUUAUGAUUAAAUCUUAUAAUGUCACAUUAUUUAUACCUUCGUUGAAAUAAAUGUGAAGAACA